UGGUUGGGAAAGAGCGCCCUUCUCUAUCGUCUCUCCUCUACCGUCGGCGGGCGGCGCCGCCCAUGUGUUUUGCUGCUGCCGGCUCCUGGGGAGCUGCUGGUUGGGGUUGUGUGAGCGGAGUACAUGCCGGGAGCCUGGCGCUGUGAUCCGAGUUGCAGACUUCCUGAAGAUGUCUGUCUGCUUCACAAAGUUCAUUUUCUUAUCUAAGAAAGACCAGUGUAAAUUGCACAAACCUCCAUGAAGAAUUUGAGCUGAAAUGCUGGUUGUAUAUUAUCUGGACAGCAUAGUGAAGAGAUGCUGUGUGUGCUGGUGAAACUGCCCAUUUCGUCACACAAAAAUGGCUGAAGAGGAUUCUUCCUGGGGGUGAGCAGUAACUGACUGCAGAUGAAGAAUUGCUGAUCUGGAUACUAGAGUAUUAAAGAAUGAAGAUGUACGCUGGAUGCCAAACAUGGAUUUUAUGUUCAGCUAUGUUUAUCUGUUGUCCUGCAUUUAUUUUCAGUUACCAUAAUGAAUUUAACAAUGAAUCAACUUUAAAACAAUAUACCAAUAGUGUUUUUUUGUUUGUUUUCAUUGCCCAUGAUGGCUGCCGGUAUAUAUGUACCUGAGCUUGUCAUAGCUGUUGCCAGCCUUUGUGUUUUUGGUAAGAGUCCUUGUACAUGUGAAUAUUUAAUAAAAAAGUAAACCAA